rnacentral:rRNA from 1 species
GAUGAACGCUGGCGGCGUGCCUAAUACAUGCAAGUCGAGCGAACUGACGAGAAGCUUUCUUCUCUGAUGUUAGCGGCGGACGGGUGAGUAACACGUGGAUAACCUACCUAUAAGACUGGUAUAACUUCGGGAAACCGUAGCUAAUACCGUAUAAUAUUUUGAACCGCAUGGUUCAAAAGUGAAAGACGGUCUUGCUGAUACUUAUAGAGGGAUUCGCGCUGCAUUAGCUAAUUGGUAAAGUAACGGCUGACCAGGGCAACGAUGCAUAGCAUACCUGAGAGGGUGAUCGGCCACCCAGGAACUGAGACACGGUCCAGACUGAAACGGGAGGAAGCAGUAGGGAAUCUUCCGCAAUGGGCGAAAGCCUGAUGGAGCAAUGCCGCGUGAGUGAUGAUGUUCUUCGGAUAGUAAAACUCUGUAAUAAGGGAAGAAAAUCUGUGUAAGUAACUGUGCACAUCUUGACGGUACCUAAUCAGAAAGACACGGCUCACUACGUG